rnacentral:rRNA from 1 species
GGCUUUUUGUUUAACAUAAAAGGUCGUGCCUUCCCGGUGGGCAUAUGGGCCUAAACGGACGCGGUAAAUCGUGCUAAGGUAGCUAAAUUAUGGCCCAUUAAUUGUGGGUCCUGUGAAUGGUUUGACGAGUCCUCGGCUGUCUCAAGGUUGUUUUGGUGAACUUGAAUUGAAUGUGCAAAUGCUUUCAUAGGUAAGAAAGACGAGAAGACCCCGUGAAGUUAGAAAUUCUUGCCAUAACGAAAAUUCUUAUUUAAAAUGGUUUUAGCUCAGAGUGUGGGUUUAUAGGUUUGGUUGAGGAUUAUGGUUCUUGUGUUUUGGCUGGGGCAGCAAAGAGGCAAGUCUAGACCUCUUUUGAUUUUAAACGGGUGCGUUACGACCCAUUAGUUUUAAAGGUGUGAUUAGCAGAAGUAGUUACUCCGGGGAUAACAGCGUUAUCCGCCCCGAUAGCUCUUAUAGACGGGCGGGUUUGCGACCUCGAUGUUGGCUCUGGUUAUCCUGAGGCUUGUAGGAGGUCUCAAGGGUUGGUUCGUUCGCCCAUUAAAAUCCG